rnacentral:misc_RNA from 1 species
AAGUCGUAACAAGGUUUCCGUAGGUGAACCUGCGGAAGGAUCAUUAAUGAAAAAAGAUUAAUCGCCCCGUUUUUGUUCGUCAAUCGGGUUCUAAUCCCACAACCGUGUCUACCUACCUUUGUUGCUUUGGCAGGCCGCCUUCGGGCGUCGGCUCCGGCUGACUGUGCCUGCCAGAGGACCCAAACUCUGUGUUUAGUGAUGUCUGAGUACUAUAUAAUAUUUAAAACUUUCAACAACGGAUCUCUUGGUUCUG